UUAUCCGGAUUUAUUGGGUGUAAAGGGAGCGUAGGUGGAUUGUUAAGUCAGUUGUGAAAGUGUGCGGCUCAACCGUAAAAUUGCAGUUGAAACUGGCAGUCUUGAGUACAGUAGAGGUGGGCGGAAUUCGUGGUGUAGCGGUGAAAUGCUUAGAUAUCACGAAGAACUCCGAUUGCGAAGGCAGCUCACUAGACUGUUACUGACACUGAUGCUCGAAAGUGUGGGUAUCAAACAGGAUUAGAUACCCUGGUAGUCCCCACAGUAAACGAUGAAUACUCGCUGUUUGCGAUAUACAGUAAGCGGCCAAGCGAAAGCAUUAAGUAUUCCACCUGGGGAGUACGCCGGCAACGGUGAAACUCAA
rnacentral:rRNA from 1 species